UAGAGUUUGAUCAUGGCUCAGAACGAACGCUGGCGGCAGGCCUAACACAUGCAAGUCGAACGAGACCUUCGGGUCUAGUGGCGCACGGGUGCGUAACGCGUGGGAAUCUGCCCUUGGGUUCGGAAUAACUUCGGGAAACUGAAGCUAAUACCGGAUGAUGACGUAAGUCCAAAGAUUUAUCGCCCAAGGAUGAGCCCGCGUAGGAUUAGCUAGUUGGUGAGGUAAAGGCUCACCAAGGCGACGAUCCUUAGCUGGUCUGAGAGGAUGAUCAGCCACACUGGGACUGAGACACGGCCCAGACUCCUACGGGAGGCAGCAGUGGGGAAUAUUGGACAAUGGGCGAAAGCCUGAUCCAGCAAUGCCGCGUGAGUGAUGAAGGCCCUAGGGUUGUAAAGCUCUUUUACCCGGGAUGAUAAUGACAGUACCGGGAGAAUAAGCCCCGGCUAACUCCGUGCCAGCAGCCGCGGUAAUG
rnacentral:rRNA from 1 species